AAUGGACUUGGUGGGUCUUUGAAUUUAAAUAAAAUAAACAUGUAUAUGCAACACAAAAUAUUUAUAUUCCUUGUGUAAACAUAAUUUAAUUGAUUAGGAUGAAAAUGUUUUGUUUGAAUGUAAAAUGAACACAUUAUUCUCACAUUGAUUAAAAUUGAUUGAAUUGAAUACUUAAAGCAAUAAAAUUGAGUUUGCACACAAAAUGGCACCUCCUGAGCAGAAGGUGGCAGUAACGCUCAAUAAAAAGGACGUCAAUCGCCAUAAAAGAAGAAUAAACAUCGUUUGUUUUGGGCGCCAAAAUGAAGACUCAGCAGCAGUCAGUCAGAAGAACUCUCUCAGACGGACACCACGUUAUUAAAGUCCAUCAUCCUUGCACACACUCAAAAGCAUUGAUAAAUGCUGAAUUUAAAAGCAUCACUACUGUCUUAUGUUCCUGUGUCACCUGGACCUCCAAUCCAAAAACCUGACGAAACUCUUCUAUCAGAAAGGAGGACAGCUAGCAAAAAGACUUAGAACAAUCAAUGAUCAAAUGACAGAAGGCAUGGAUGAAGUCAGCAUCAGCGAGGUCAUUUGAAGACACCACUGUUGGGAUUUGUGCUCUCAAACAACAUCCUUCUUGUGAUGAAGAAGAGGAUCUUUGUAUAGUCCUGGAAGGCAUGAAGGUGUUGCAACAUCGUGCCAUGUUUUUUGAGCUGAUGUAUGCCUUAAACCUGAGCUAUCCUGAUCUCCGCUUUAUUUUUGAGGAAAUCCAAAAGAUUUUAAUGGAACUGCAUUGACCGUAACUUUAACGAACAGUUUCUUUCAGUGAAAGGAUCAGAAAGACUGUGCUGCUCAUUUUUGUUAUCUGUUUUAAGUGUUUUCUCUUAUUUAAACAUUAACAGUUUGCUGCUCAGAGUUGAUUUUGGAAAUGGUUGUUGUAUUUUGUUUUUGUUGAAUCUUUGAUUAACAGUUUAUACAACUGCUGUAGCUCUGACUUUCUGAAGGAUUGAUAUUUUCCAGUUUGUAAAUCAAUUUUAAAAAUAAUAGUACUUACUGUUUUGCAUGUCUCUUUGGAAUGCAGUGUUUGUGCUUUAGCACUUCUAAAUCUACUGUGAUAGUAACUAUUUUAAACAUUUGGGUCAGUUUUACAGAUGGGGCUUUUCCUAGUCCCAGACUUUUGCAAUGCCUUAAUUUGAAAACAUAUUGCACUGACAUAUCGUGACAUAUAUGAGUGCCAUUGUUUUGUCUCAAGAUGUACUCCAGUGUUGUUUUUGUAAGGUAGGUUUGUUUGUAAACUUUUUUUGUAAAAAAUAUCCUAAUAUAACUAGGGCCUAGUCAUGGAUUAAUCUACAACCUGUCUGGGAAAUUGCCCCUUUGUAUGAACUGCAUGUGCUGAUUGUUGUAAUAGUUAUUGACUGUUAAUGAAUUAAUGUGUAAUGAUGUCAUUGAAUUGAUGAUCUGAAAGCAGUGGUUUGCCUCAAUAUCACUAAACAUUUGUUCAAAACUCUUUGCUUUUUAUGCCAAUGCAAAUGUAUUUUGUAUUUAAAAAAGAAAUAAAUAACAUUUGGAUAAUUAUGGGUGAUUAUUCUGGUGCCAGAGACAUAAUGAAAUUGUUUUAGAGUUAAAUAAUCCCAUAAUAUAAGCAUUAAAAAAGCAUGUUGGAAUUACAGAUGAAAAUCUAGUCCCCUUACAUAAUAAAAUUACUUAAACAUUACAAAAUAAAUGUGUUAUAGGAAAGAGAAAUAGCACUUUGAGUCAACAUAUUUAUAUUAGACUACCUAAAACAAUUAAAAUGUUUUGGUCUGACACACAAAAAUUAAAUGAGGAAAAUUAUGUUGGUUUUACACAAUCGGAUUAUGUGGGACCGAUGUACACAUUAAA